rnacentral:rRNA from 1 species
GACGAACGCUGGCGGCGUGCUUAACACAUGCAAGUCGAACGAUGAAGCCUAGCUUGCUAGGUGGAUUAGUGGCGAACGGGUGAGUAAUACGUGAGUGACCUACCUUUGACUCUGGGAUAAGCCUGGGAAACUGGGUCUAAUACCGGAUACGACCAAUCUCCGCAUGGGGUGUUGGUGGAAAGCGUUAUGGAGUGGUUUUAGAUGGGCUCACGGCCUAUCAGCUUGUUGGUGAGGUAAUGGCUUACCAAGGCGACGACGGGUAGCCGGCCUGAGAGGGUGACCGGCCACACUGGGACUGAGACACGGCCCAGACUCCUACGGGAGGCAGCAGUGGGGAAUAUUGCACAAUGGGCGCAAGCCUGAUGCAGCGACGCCGCGUGAGGGAUGACGGCCUUCGGGUUGUAAACCUCUGUUAGCAUCGAAGAGGCGAAAGUGACGGUAGGUGCAGAGAAAGCGCCGGCUAACUACGUG